UGUGCUGUAUUUUUUUGUAAACUUCUGUUUAGACUGUAGUUAAGCUUACUCCGAGGCUUGGUAUUAUUCACUAGCUUAUUCUCACUAACAUCAUUGCUAUAAAGAUUAUUAAAAUUUUUACUACAUAACAUAAACAAGAACUACUUUUGGGAUCAGUUCCAGUAUUAUUAUUAUUUAUGUUGAUUUAUUUUGCAUUAGAUUCAGUUAAUUAUCAUCAUUAUUAUCAUCAUUACUACCGUUUUAAUUUUGAUUGUAUUUUUACUUUUUCUUAUUAGUUUUUUUGUUUCUUUUUCUUUCUUUUCUCAUCUUUUUUCUUUUUCUUUCUGGCUGGCCAUGUUUCCUUGGUCAGGCCUUUGGUGUUUCUUUUUAUCUAGCCUCUUAACUCUAUUCUCAUUGCCGGUCACUGUCAAGUUUAAAUAAAUUAAUUAAUACAUAAAUUGCUGAUGCAUGAAUAUAACAAUUGAUUAUUAUAGUCUACUAGAUAUAAUAUUAUUAUUAGUUUUGAACAAGUGUAAAAUUAAUUCAAGUUGAUAUUACAGACUUUAUCAA